GAUGAACGCUGACAGAAUGCUUAACACAUGCAAGUCAACUUGAAUUUGGGUUUUUAACUUAGGUUUGGGUGGCGGACGGGUGAGUAACGCGUAAAGAACUUGCCUCACAGCUAGGGACAACAUUUGGAAACGAAUGCUAAUACCUAAUAUUAUGAUAAUAGGGCAUCCUAUAAUUAUGAAAGCUAUAAGCGCUGUGAGAGAGCUUUGCGUCCCAUUAGCUAGUUGGAGAGGUAACGGCUCACCAAGGCGAUGAUGGGUAGCCGGCCUGAGAGGGUGAUCGGCCACAAGGGGACUGAGACACGGCCCUUACCCCUACGGGAGGCAGCAGUGGGGAAUAUGGGACAAUGGACCGAGAGUCUGAUCCAGCAAUUCUGUGUGCACGAUGAAGUUUUUCGGAAUGUAAAGUGCUUUCAGUUGGGAAGAAACAAAUGACGGUACCAGCAGAAGAAGUGACGGCUAACUACGUG
rnacentral:rRNA from 1 species